rnacentral:rRNA from 1 species
UACGUAGGGUGCAAGCGUUGUCCGGAAUUAUUGGGCGUAAAGAGCUCGUAGGCGGUCUGUCGCGUCUGCUGUGAAAACUCAGGGCUUAACCCUGAGCUUGCAGUGGGUACGGGCAGACUAGAGUGCGGUAGGGGAGACUGGAAGUUCCGUGGUGAUAGCGGUGAAAUGACGCAGACUAUCAGGAGGAACACCGGUGGCGA